AGCCAGCCCAAUAGGAAUCAACCCUAACGUUUAGGUUUAAGCGUCACCUUCCAUCCGACGUCGUACGAAUCCUUCUCAAUCAAGGAUCCCUCAAUCAAGGAUCCCUCAAUCAAGAACCAUAGCCAUUAAUGGAGUUUCAGGAAGAUGUUCGAGAUGUAUCUCCCUGAUGAAUCUCUGGAUCAAUUUUUUUUUUUAAUUAGUUUCUGGAUCUAGCUUCGCUCGCGUCCGUUCGUCUAAGAUUCUUCUCUCAGAAUCUCUCUUAUGGGUUUUUGUUUUCUUCUUACACCUUCAUUUGAUCGACCCAUGUGUAGUUCGCAGGAAUCCAGGAUCGUAGCUAUAUCGGUUCACAUGAUCCAUCAAGAUCCAAACUGUUCAUAUUCAUUGGUACAUCCAAUUGCUUCCCACAAAGGAAGGAGCAAGAAAGACAAGAAGACGACAAUAAACCAAAAUCGAGACUACUGUAUGUUUAGAUAAGCACUGGAUAUUGAAGAAGAAGCGUGAUAUGGAGGACUCCGGAAGGCAUGAAACCAUCUGUACUUUCUUACGGAUUUUACUUUCUUUUUCCUCUCAUCUGUAGUCCAGAAGGUGUGGAGAGUUGAUGGGGGUGGAUCUGAUAAUGGUCGAUCAAAAGUCAACAAAGCAACAUAGCUUCUGUUCAGGCUCCGAGACACUGAAACCGUCGUCAUGUACCCUAUGGCAGUCACAACCCUUCUGUAUUCAGAUCCGUGAUCAAUUUGAUGGGAUCUUGAAUGAUGAUUCAUGAAGAUUACAUGUUGACUUCCAAUAUUUUUUUUUAAUUGGUAAUUAUUGUGAAAACCUUUGGUGGAAACAUGAAAUUAUGAACUUUGUUGUCUUCUAUUAGCUCUUUCACUCACACUCUAUACCAUCCCAUAAAUGAUGAGAUGAUGUGUGUGUGUAUGCCCCUCUGUUCAUGAAGAUAUACAUUUCUGAUUUCAUGUAUUUGUUUUUAGGAUUGGUAACAUUUAGAUUGCUCUAAUUACUAUGAAAACCACUGUUGGGAACAUGAAAGUAUAAAUUUUUGUUGUGUUCUAUUAGCUCUUUGACUGUACUUUUCAGGUGCAAUAGUUUUGUGCUCUCAGUGUGGAGAAGCAGAUACUCUUAUCGCUCAAAUCUACUAAAUUUUUUCCUACUAUAAAGUUAAAUAGUAUUUCCAGGUGGUGGUGAUCACGGUGGCAGAGGAGGGGUUGCAGUGGUGGUGGUCAUGAAGAGCAUAUCGGGCAUGGAGAAGCAGAAGAUGGCGAGGGACCGGAGAAGAUGUGGAAUGGUUCGUCGACCAGUGACAUGGAGCGGAUGGAUCUGGGACUAUUCUAAUGAUCACCACUAUUCUAUUUAACUAGGAUUGUUUUCAUACGUAAGUUGUUGUUUAUCAUAGUUUUAAGAAUGUUUGUCUGUGUUUAAGAUUUAAGAUUACACUUUUUGGUUUUAACCUUGUCACAAACUCAGUCCAAAACAUGGAGAAUUCUUUUUUACCAAA